AGUGAACGCUGGCGGUAGGCCUAACACAUGCAAGUCGAACGGCAGCACAGUAAGAGCUUGCUCUUACGGGUGGCGAGUGGCGGACGGGUGAGGAAUACAUCGGACUCUACUUUUUCGUGGGGGAUAACGUAGGGAAACUUACGCUAAUACCGCAUACGACCUACGGGUGAAAGCAGGGGAUCUUCGGACCUUGCGCGAUUGAAUGAGCCGAUGUCGGAUUAGCUAGUUGGCGGGGUAAAGGCCCACCAAGGCGACGAUCCGUAGCUGGUCUGAGAGGAUGAUCAGCCACACUGGAACUGAGACACGGUCCAGACUCCUACGGGAGGCAGCAGUGGGGAAUAUUGGACAAUGGGCGCAAUCCUGAUCCAGCCAUACCGCGUGGGUGUAGAAGGCCUUCGGGUUGUAAAGCCCUUUUGUUGGGAAAGAAAAGCAGCAGGUUAAUACCCCGCUGUUCUGACGGUACCCAAAGAAUAAGCACCGGCUAACUUCGUG
rnacentral:rRNA from 1 species